UACGUAGGGGGCUAGCGUUGUCCGGAUUUAUUGGGCGUAAAGAGCGUGUAGGCGGCUUGGCAAGUCUGCUGUGAAAACUCGAGGCUCAACCUCGAGCUGUCGGUGGAAACUGCUUGGCUAGAGUCCGGAAGAGGAGAGUGGAAUUCCUGGUGUAGCGGUGAAAUGCGCAGAUAUCAGGAAGAACACCUAUGGCGAAGGCAGCUCUCUGGGACGGUACUGACGCUGAGGAGCGAAAGCGUGGGGAGCGAACAGG
rnacentral:rRNA from 1 species